AACAGCCUUAAAGGGCUUUCUUCCAGGAUAAAGUCACGACCCAUCCUACUCCACCCACAAACACCGUAGAGAGGAAGACUCGCUCUCUAGUGGAAGGCAAUGCAUAUAAAUGGAGCUUCUCCUUUAAAGAGGCGCUCAGUUGGACAACAAAGCAGGCCUUUAAAGCACAGAGCUGCUUUCUUCACAUGCCUGUGUGCAAAGGUGGAAAUCUGGGCAGAGUGGAAGAUGAAG
rnacentral:lncRNA from 1 species